GUGGCCGUGGCCCAAUUGGUAGGGCGCCUCACUGUGAAUGAGGUCUGUGCGGGUUCGAGCCCCGCCGGUCACA
rnacentral:tRNA from 1 species